UGGGGAAUUUUGGACAAUGGGCGAAAGCCUGAUCCAGCAAUGCCGCGUGUGCGAAGAAGGCCCUCGGGUUGUAAAGCACUUUUGUCCGGAAAGAAAUCCGCCUGGCUAAUACCCGGGCGGGAUGACGGUACCGGAAGAAUAAGCACCGGCUAACUACGUGCCAGCAGCCGCGGUAAUACGUAGGGUGCGAGCGUUUAUCGGAAUUACUGGGCGUAAAGCGUGCGCAGGCGGCUUUGUAAGACAGAUGUGAAAUCCCCGGGCUCAACCUGGGAACUGCAUUUGUGACCGAAAGGCUAGAGUGCGUCAGAGGGAGGUGGAAUUCCGCGUGUAGCAGUGAAAUGCGUAGAGAUGCGGAGGAACACCGAUGGCGAAGGCAGCCUCCUGGGAUGACACUGACGCUCAUGCACGAAAGCGUGGGGAGCAAACA
rnacentral:rRNA from 1 species